rnacentral:rRNA from 1 species
AGGACGAACGCUGGCGGCGUGCUUAACACACGCAAGUCGAGCGGAAAGGCCUUUCGGGGUACUCGAGCGGCGAACGGGUGAGUAACACGUGAGUAAUCUGCCCAUCGCUUCAGGAUAGCCAUCGGAAACGGUGAUUAAUACUGGAUAUGACAUUCCUUCGCAUGUUGGGGUGUGGAAAGUUUUUUCGGCGGUGGAUGUGCUCGCGGCCUAUCAGCUUGUUGGUGGGGUAAUGGCCUACCAAGGCUUUGACGGGUAGCCGGCCUGAGAGGGUGACCGGCCACGACUGGGACUGAGACACGGCCCAGACUCCUACGGGAGCAGCAGUGGGGAAUAUUGGACAAU